rnacentral:rRNA from 1 species
AACGAACGCUGGCGGCAUGCCUAACACAUGCAAGUCGAACGAGACCUUCGGGUCUAGUGGCGCACGGGUGCGUAACGCGUGGGAACCUGCCCUUAGGUUCGGAAUAACUCCCCGAAAGGGGUGCUAAUACCGGAUAAUGUCUUCGGACCAAAGAUUUAUCGCCUUUGGAUGGGCCCGCGUUGGAUUAGCUAGUUGGUAGGGUAAAAGCCUACCAAGGCGACGAUCCAUAGCUGGUCUGAGAGGAUGGUCAGCCACACUGGGACUGAGACACGGCCCAGACUCCUGCGGGAGGCAGCAGUGGGGAAUAUUGGACAAUGGGCGAAAGCCUGAUCCAGCAAUGCCGCGUGAGUGAUGAAGGCCUUAGGGUUGUAAAGCUCUAUUACCCGGGAUGAUAAUGACAGUACCGGGAGAAUAAGCUCCGGCUAACUCCGU